CCUCUGGACGGGGGACAACACUUUGAAAAGGGUGCUAAUACCGCAUAGAGUUGCGCGAUCUAAGUUGCGUAAUGAAAGGUGGCCUCUGCUUGCAAGCUAUCGUCCGGAGAUGAGCACGCGGCCUAUUAGCUAGUUGGUGAGGCAACGGCUCACCAAGGCGACGAUGGGUAGCUGGCCUGAGAGGGUGAACGGCCAUACUGGGAUUGAGAUACGGCCCAG
rnacentral:rRNA from 1 species